GUUUGAGACCAGAGCGUUGGGUUUAGGUCAAGACCUAGGUUUACUUUCGGUUAAGGUUUGUGCGGUGACUAGCCGGCUAUCAUUUUUCCUGUUGCGAUUUCUUCCUGACUCGUACCGAUUUAAAGUCCGCAAUAGGUUCUCGGCUUAUAUGACUUGUAUUGUACGAAUCGAGCAUCUUCUCAGAGUUAACUGGAAGCGCUGGACCAAAAUUUUGGAUUUUUGUUGUAGCGCUCUUUCGUCCUUGUGUUGGACGUUUUUGAAGAUCAAAAGAAUGAUCGAAUUGCGUUUGUUUAAGACGGCUGGCGUGUUCGU
rnacentral:lncRNA from 1 species